CGCCGGCCAAGACAGCACAGAGAGGUUGACCUAUUGGGGUGUUUUGCGAGUGUGAGAGGGAAGCGCCGCGGCCUGUAUUUCUAGACCUGCCCUUCGCCUGGUUCGUGGCGCCUUGUGACCCCGGGCCCCUGCCGCCUGCAAGUCGGAAGCUGCGCUGUGCUCCGGCCUGUGGCUGGACUGCCUGCUGCUGCCCAACUGGCUGGCAAGAUGAAGCUCUCCCUGGUGGCCGCGAUGCUGCUG
rnacentral:other from 1 species